rnacentral:lncRNA from 1 species
CCAGUACCAACAACCUGCCCUCUAGCCUUCCUCCACUUUCACCUAGCCGCCCCAGGCAAACGUGCCUUUCGCAGACUAGAUUUAUUCCCUGAGGCACCACCAACACCAGGAGACCACUCCGCCACCCCACCACCCUGAGGCACACCAGUAGGCUUGGUACUCUCAGAAGAGAUCCCAAGACCACCAUCCCUGCGAAGAGAUGGAGAAGCGUCCCCCCAGAAAGAGAAAGUUUUAGAUCAUCCAUACCAGAAUGGCAGACUGGGGGAAUAACAGUCACUGCCCGGCUAUCCUCCAAUCUGGGCGGAAGACUAAGUACGACAAGGUUUUGCCAGGUGCUCUGAAGGGAUUGUUAAGGACACUGCAUUUUUUAUUGACCCAGUGCCACUCAACUCUUAGCACAAUACCUCACACCUUAGUUUGGGCAGGACGCUCUCUUAAUCUGGCCCCUUACCUUCGACCUGUCUGGCAUGGGAGACCCUACCAGUAGCAAAGUUACUGCCGGCAUAA